rnacentral:rRNA from 1 species
CACGAACGCUGGCGGCGUGCUUAACACAUGCAAGUCGAACGGUGAAGGGACCAGCUUGCUGGUUCUGGAUGAGUGGCGAACGGGUGAGUAACACGUGAGUAACCUGCCCCCUUCUUCUGGAUAACCGCAUGAAAGUGUGGCUAAUACGGGAUAUUCUGGGUCUGUCGCAUGGCGGGCCCGGGAAAGAUAUUGCUUCGGUGGGGGAUGGGCUCGCGGCCUAUCAGCUUGUUGGUGGGGUGAUGGCCUACCAAGGCGGUGACGGGUAGCCGGCCUGAGAGGGUGGACGGUCACACUGGGACUGAGACACGGCCCAGACUCCUACGGGAGGCAGCAGUGGGGAAUAUUGCACAAUGGGCGCAAGCCUGAUGCAGCGACGCCGCGUGAGGGAUGGAGGCCUUCGGGUUGUAAACCUCUUUCGCCAGUGAAGCAGGCCUGCUCCUUGUGGGUGGGUUGACGGUAGCUGGAUAAGAAGCGCCGGCUAACUACGUG